AGUGAGCCAGUGACUACUGAAUUGGCCACAAUCAAAGUUUUGGGUUCAGACGUUCAGUUUCCCGUCAUUCUCUGAAUUUCUCCCCAAACUCCCUCCUUUCUCUUCUCUUUCCUCAUUUGCAUGUCUCCAUAGUUAUGAAAGGUUCCUUCUUUCCCCCAUUUUCUUCUAUAUUGGACUGCAAUUCUGCAACUUCCGUCAUGUCCUUCAAAGUCGAGGAAGGUAUUUCUAAUAAUAGGAGAAUUCAGGGGAAAGGGAAGAAGUGGAAGCUAUGGAGAGUCCAUUAGGAGAAUUGAGGACCCCUUUCGAGGUUUCGGAUUCGCUCAGUCUUCAAGAUCAUGCGUUUAGUGCUGCUGUUGGAGGAUUUUCAGGCUUGGUUUCUGUCUUAAGGGGACAAAGAGAGUUUCUUGAUCACUGACACAAGAAUGAUGUGAGUCGUGGAUUUUCAGCACUGUUUACUUGCAAGGAACUUGUAAGGAACUGUGAGAGAAGUCCGUCCAAGUUGGUAUCUGUCAGUUUGACUCAGUCCUAUACGAGGUAUGUUGUCUGCUUAACAUUUCAAAGUAUAUUAAAAGGUAUGUAUCCAUUAUAUGAUGAUAUACUGGCUUAUGCAUUCUCGUUCUUUUUCAUUUGAGUAAAUGUUGCAUCAGGUAUGCCAAAUAUUCAUUCUGCAAGUCUCUUACUUUGGCUUUGUGUGUAGCUAUAGAAGCUAAUUACAGUUUUUCUAUUUCGGGAAGGGGGGGGGGGGGGGGGGGUGAUUGGACUAGUGGACUUGAGCUUUGAAUCACACAUUAUACUGACGUAUGUUUCCUAUAUUCGCAAUGUAAACCAUCAGUGACUGACUAUUCAAGACAUGAGUUUGACAUUGAAUAAAUUGUUGCUUAAAAGUUAUCAUAGUUCGUAAAAGCUCAAUAAUGCAAGCUUUACGUGUUUAUACUUUAUACUUGAUGUUAAAUUAAAAUGAUUUCCACAAUGGACUUGUUUUAUUGCUGAAAACACCUCACACUUUGCGUCAAUUUAUUUGGCUUUGUAUUGUAUACCAUUUUGUUAAUGUAAUUUGAGAAUAAAUGUGAACUAUGCGGAGACUUGUGAGCUUGUGGUAGAAUAAAAAUGCAGCUCCUUGUUCGUGUUCUUUUGUCAUCAUAGAAACAGGAACCAAAGUUCUAUUGUCUAUUUUAUCGGUAGUAAGGUGUUAUCAAACUCCGUUUUGGAGCCUUCUACCUUUUACAAGAUCAAUUUUUUGGAUAAAGGAAACGGAAAUGACAAUUGCUAAAUGUUGUCUUGGGUUAAGUUUUUUUUCCCUGCCUUAAUGUUACAGUAGGUAGCUGUUGAUGGGUAGUGCCACUUUAUGAUCAGUAAUUCAGUAGUAUUGGGAUCUCUCUCCCGUAAGAUCUGAAAAUAUUGUUGUGGUUUAUUCUACUUCUUUUUAUCGUUUUGGGGUUUCAGAUUUAACUAUGAGAUCUAAUAACUUUGAUCACUCAUGGACUUGGUGGUAAGAUCAAUUUGAAAAGGUGUAUGGCAGACGAGCAGAAAAUUACAAAAUUAUACGAAGUAUUACUUUAAAGACCAAGGUAAAGAUACCAUAAAAGUAUGAACAAUUGACUUGGAAAUCGUGACGCAUUUGUUUGAAUAUGUUAAUUGUUACAUUCCAUUUCAUUUACGUGUUGUCUUCUCUUCAUGCAACCCUAUUUGAAUUCGAAUGUGAAUCACUGUUCUUAUUUUCUCGUGUAUAUGGAAGUAGUCAGCCAAUAAAUCAUUGUUAUUACUUAUUAGGUUUUGGACUCCGUUAUUUGUAGAAUGUUUUUGAAGUUUUGCACUUAUUAAUCUAUAGUAGCUGUUCUUGCUUAUACAUAUUGGUCUGUGGUAAGUACACGGCACUGCUUCAUAAUCUAAAGUCUGAAAUUUCUGGUUGAGGGGUGCAGCUAACACUGCUUCAUAAUCUAAAGUCCUUCAAGACUUCUUAGAACCAACUCGUAGUAAACUUAAGUCCUCUUACUCUGAAAUACCCAUGAUUUAAGUUCUAUAAUUGCAGACCAUUGUGGUCUGAUGUUGUAAGACCACUAUCUGAUAGCUUGUUCUUAGUUCAUCAAAAUAUUUGCUCUCUUUAAAGUCACAAUAAAAUAUACAAGUAGUUUAAAAACAUCAAAGUGUUGGAGCAUAUUUUCACGUAAGAAGGCCUGUGGUUAUUACCUUCUGAAGAUGUACAUCGAUCCCUUUUGAUUUUUUUGACAUGCUUAAAGGGUAAAUUUCAUUGAAUCAUGCUUUUUUGGUAAGAAAUUUCUUGGUUCGCAAUGAUGAUAUUUGUUACCUUAUCGACUUACCGUUCGCACCCCAAAGGAUCUUCAUAAAAGGAAGCAUAUCAUGUCUGAUUUAUUUAUUUUUUAAAAAUACUCCGCAUUUUAAAUUUUGUAUUUUAUGUAAUCAAUGGGGUGCUUUAAAAUUUUUAACCUUUCACAUGUAAAAUACCACCCACCUCAGCAUGACGUGGUGGAAACUCUAUGCCCUAUUCCUAAACCCUAAUUCAUUCCCUAUAUAUAUGAUGCUCACACAUCUCUGAAUCAGUGUGCUUCUAUUGGCCAUCCUUCUAUCUCUCUCUUCUCUCUCUUUCUUUGGUUUUCUUUGUCAUUGUUCUUCUGAGUAGCAAGUUAGCAUGGCGAUCCAAAAGGAUCGAAUUGCUUUCAUGCUUGCUACCAUGAAACGUCCAAGGAAGAAGAAAAGAAAGAAGAGAUCUAUGUUCCAACAUAUAUCAUAUUGCAUCAGCGAUUUACCAAAAUAGCCCCUAAUGAACUGGAGUUGUCGCCGCACUUGGAUCCACUCUCCUUUCACCAUGUCCAGAUCCGAUCUUUCAAAAUUUCGUCAUUGGUCGAGUGUUGAAUGUUCUCUUACAAAAUCAACCUGGCUGAAAACGAAACAAGAUUGAGAAUGAGAUGGAUUUGGUGGAUCCCUCUGCAGACAUGAUCUCCUUCCUCGAGUACUCCAGUGAGAUGAAUGCAAGUAGUUCUUCAAAGGCCUGAUCUUUGCUAAGAGUGAUUUCAACUCGGCCUUGUUAACUCACCACCUGAAGUGACUACAUAAUUACAUAUGUACAUGUCAGUGAUUUCAACUCGGCCUUGUUAACUCACCAGCUGAAGUGUACAUAACUACAUAUGUAUAUUUUUUUUUACGCAGAAAUAGGAAAUAUAUUAAUAGGAGGUAACUAGGACCUCAAGAACCAGAAAGUAUAGAUACAAAGGUGCCAAAAGCAGCCCACAGCCAAACCCAAAAACUUGUAAUCACGACUAUGACUGAAACCAGGAUAAAGCUUAAAAUGUUUAGCAAAAUACAAACGCGAAAUUGGAAAAUUAGAGUAGUUAGCAAUAUAAACACAGAACUUCAAACCCAAGUCGAAAAGGAACUCAAGGCUAGACAGCAUUGACUGGGACCAACUCCUUCUCAUAGGCUUCCUUUACAUUAGCUGGAGGCUGAAAAUGGUAGACCUUUGGAACAGUCAUGAUGCGUCCAAUUUCAGCGAGGCCAUGAGCAACUUGGUUAACAUCACGUUUGACAUGAAGGAGAGAAACACACCAGUUCCUCUUGAGGAGUGAAACAAUAUCAUUGAUGAUAGGAGCUGGGUGAUGAUCUUGGUAGCCCUUUGGAUUCUCUAACAUGUAUUUUAAAGCCGCCGCAUCUAUCUCCAAUUCCAGAUGAGUAAUCUUCCUCUCCCAAGCAAUCAGAAGCCCUUCCUUAACUGCAGUUAAUUCCGCUGAAGCAGGACCAAGAGAUUUGAAGCGAGUGGAGAAACCAAUAUGCCAAAGGCCUCUAUCACAUCUGAUCACACCACCUCCUCCAGCAUUGUCAAUAUCAAUCCAGGAACCAUCAGUGUUCAAUUUGAAAAAAGAGACUUGAGGGGGAGCCCACUUCCUUGGUGAAGGAGGAUUAGCGGAAGAGCUAGCUUCAGUUUCAUCAGAAAUAGACUGCACCAAAGUGUUAGAGAAAGUGUAGUCUGGCCAGAAUCUAUUAUAAAGGCUAGCACUGCUUCCCAUUUUCAGCUUAAAGACAGCAUCAUUUCUAUAAGACCAAAUGUGCCAAAUUGCAAUAGAAAAAAUUCUUUGUCAUUGAUUAGACCCAUUUAAAUUAUAAGCCACCCACUCAUGCCAAGACAAGGAGUAAAAUUUGAUAAAUUCAAGAUCAAAAACUGAAGGAUGAUAUUGAAAAAGCAUAGACCAGAACGCAGAAGUACUAUAGCAAUCUCUAAAAAGAUGUAAGUUGUCUUCAUUGGAAGUGGUGCACCUGAUACAGAUAGGAUUGAAAUUCUGGAUUUUAACAGCUAAAGUUUGAGCUACAGGAAGAAUGGAGUGACAGACAUUCCAAAGUAACAUCUUAUAUUUGUAAGGAAUGUUAAUUUUCCAGAGUUUUUUCCAGCAAACAUUAAUAAGACAAGCAUUGGAAUGGGAGCUAGCAGUAGAAUUAUAUGCUGACUUAAUGGUGAAGGUUCCUUUUUUAUCCAAAAUCCAUCUUAACGAAUCCUUGGCAGCAGAUAAAGUUGAGAGGGGAGUAGCCUUUAUGAUACUGCAAAUAUGAGAGGGGAGUAAAUGCUGGAUUCUAGUAAGAUCCCAAGCGUUAUUAUUAAUGAUAUGGGAAACCCUCAGGUGGGCAAGAGAUUCAGGAAUAACAAUAUUGGGAAGCUGAUAAAGAGGACAUUGACCAACCCAGUGAUUGAACCAAAGCGAAGUGUCUUCACCAUUCCCAAUACUAAUAAUCAUGCCUUUUUUAACAAUUUCCCUUCCUUUGAGAAUAUCUUUCCAAAUAGAAGAAGAGUUGGAAUUUGGGAAACAGUCAUUGAAAUUUGAAGUUUUUAGAUACCUAGAACUUAGGAUUUUAACCCAAAGUUUAUCAGGUUGAGUCAGGAUUUUCCAACCUAAUUUAGCCAUAAAAGCAAGAUUCCAACGUUUUAAAUUUCUAAUUCCCAAUCCCCCCAGAUUGAUAGGAUCACAAACUCUAUCCCAACUGGUUCUUGGGAUAUACCUAGACCUAUCCACCCUAUUCCAUAGGAAUUUUUUGCAUCUAGACUCAAGCUCUUGGAUAACAGUAGCAGGGAGGAUGCAAGUUUGCAUUUCAUAUAAAGGAUAAGCAUUAAGAACAGAUUUGAUAAGUGUACAUCUACCUGCCAUAUUGAGAAGUUUAGCCUGCCACCCCCUAAUCUUAGAGGUAGUUUUAUCUAAGAGGUUAAAAAAAUCCUCCUUUUUAAGUCUAGUAGGGGAUAUAUUGCAACCAAGAUACUUACCAAAGGAAAUAGUGUCCUUAAAGGGACACACCAUACGAAUAGAAUUCCUAACAUUGAAAUUUGUUUUCUUUGGGAAGAUAAUGGAUGAUUUAUCAUGAUUAACAUUUAACCCUGAUAUUUUCCCAAAUUCUUGUAAGCAUUGAAGCAUUACAUCAAUGUUAGUGGUGGUUGCCUUCCCAAAUAGGAAAACAUCAUCAGCAUAGAAAAGAUGGGAAAUAGACACCUCUUUAGAUAUGCGCAAAGGUUUCCAAAGUUUUCCAGAAACUCUACCUUCUAUCAUUUGAGAGAGUCUUUCUAAGCAAAGAACAAAAAUAUAAGGAGAUAAAGGAUCCCCUUGUCUGAUUCCCCUUGAAGGAACAAAGGAUUCAGUAAUUUGGCCAUUCCAAAGGACAGAUAUAGUUGCUGAAGAAAUACAGCUCAUAAUUAGGUCAAUCAGACUAGCAGGAAAAUUGAACCAGAUCAAGGUAUCCCUAAUGAAACCCCAUUCCAGACUAUCAAACGCUUUGCUAAGAUCAAUUUUUAGAGCCAUACUUUUGUUCUUUUUACUAGCCUUAUUGAAAAUAUGAGAUAUCUCCUUUAUAAUGAUGAUGUUUUCAUCAAUAGUUCUGUUCAUUAUAAAGCUGGAUUGAAGAGGACUAAUAAGAUCAGGAAGAAGUGGUUUAAUCCUGUUAGAAAUGAUUUUUGUAAUCAACUUAUAGAUAGAAUUGCAAAGACCAAUAGGUCUGAAUUCUUUCAUACAAGAAGGGAUAUCAGUUUUAGGAAUUAGACAUAGAUAGGAGUGACUAAUUUCAGUAGGAAUGCAGUUCGAAUUGAAACAGUCUUGAACAAAAUUGAUGAUGGAUUGAUUCAAUUGUUUCCAGAACUUUUGAAGAAAUAAGGGUUGAAUUCCAUCAGGCCCCGGGCUCUUAAUGGGAUUCAUUUGAAAUAAAGUUAAUUUAAUUUCUUCAGCAGUAGGAGCACUUGUAACUAAACUGGAGUGAAUAUUGUCAAUGGAACAAACAGGAUGAACAUUCCUAAGGCUACAGAUAUGAGUUGAAGUGAAGAUCUUUUGAAAGUAAAGUCUUGCCAUAGAUUUGAGUACAUUCUGGUCAUGGAUCCAGAUAUCAUCCUCAUUUUUUAAACAAAUGAUUUUACUCCUAGACUUUUUAACUUUGGCAAUGGUGUGGAAAUAUUUUGUGUUCCAGUCUGCAAAUUUUCUCCAAUUCAAACCUGCCUUCUGAGCCCAAAUAGUUCUUUCCAUGUGAUAGAUUUUAUUGAGCUCAGCAAGGAGAGUUUUUUCGAGAUCAAAAAGAAAAGGGGAGAAAUGUCUUGCCAGGCUAAUUUGGAUACCAUCAAUCCUCUUCAAUAAUUUUUUCUUUUUUAAGGUGAUGUUUCCAAAAAUAUUCUUAUUCCAAUCAUGCACUUUAGAUAAAAAGUUAUUACGACCAUUGAUGAAAUGCAUACUUUCUUCCUUCCAACUAUUAACAAAAAAAUCAGGAAAUGAUUCAUGCGAAAGCCAGAUUUCUUUACAACGAAAGGGGAAGGGGCCAGGCAAUUUAUCAUUAAAAACAGAAACAAGAACAGGGCAAUGAUCAACUACAUAUGUAUAUGGUCAGUGACUCACUGGGACUUUUUAUGCAAGUAGGAAGGAGGGUAUCAUGGUCAUUUUGUUGCUGUAAGUUGUUGUAUCACACAGGAGAGAGAGUUUAGUGCACUGUGCUGGGUGAUUUAUUUAUACUCUGUAUGUAUCAUAUGGAUUUAAGUUAGGAGGUUUUGAGAGAAGACUGUCCUAACUUUUGUGUGAUUUUCCUUUUAAAAAAAAUGUAUCAAGUGGAUUGCAAACGAAGUUUGUGCCAAAAAUAUUGUGAAAAAUGUAAGGUUUUGGAAUGGGUUGCAAACGAAGUGUGUGCCAAAAAUAUUGUGAAAAUGUAAGGUUUUGGAACGUUCUAACAUAUAUACAUAUAUUACUCCGUAUUGAUCUUUA